GCUGGGCAUGGUGGCACAUGCCUGUAAUCCCAGUGACUUGGAAGGCUGAGGCAGGAGGAUCUCAAGUUCGAAGCCAGCCUCAGCAAAAGCAAGGUGCUAAGCAACUCAGUGAGACCCUGUCUCUA
rnacentral:sRNA from 1 species